GCUUGCUUAGGUGUUAGCAGUGUUGCUAGCAAUCGCCUUAUGUAGUGAGGCAGUUCAUCUGGUGAGAUGGAUUCAGGUAUUCCUCGUAUCCUUAUAUUGUGGGCUUUAGCCCUGUCUUCCAGACUAGCCAGUCGCUGGCUCAUUUCGGGUAUGGAGCGCAGCGUCUGUGGCUGAUUGUGCCAAAUAUGUACCUCCCAGCUCCCCUUCCACUGCCUGGACACGGC